UCCGCUCGCAGCUCCCUAAUUUUCAGGCUGAUUCUGCCUCCGUGAUCCUUCUUUCUCUCCCCGGAUCGAGGAAAACAGCGCCGCCUCCUCCCUUCUCCCACAAUGACGCAACCCCCAAUCCUCAGCCGAACUGCCCUCACCGGGCACUCUCCCCGCCGCCCGCACAACGCCCUCAUCGGCGCGCUCUUCGCCAGAGUGGCCCGAAGCGGCGUGCACUGGAAGCCGGAGCCGGGAAGGAGUGCGGCCACCGCCGGGAGGCAAGGGGAGGCGUGGUGGCGCUCUUUUGGGUCGGCCAUGGAGGUCGUGCGCAAGCCCGUGGCGCGGCGGCACCCGCUCCCCCUCGCCUCUCCGGCCGCAUCGGUAUCCUCCCAAAGGACGAAGUGGGCGCAUGUGUGCCGGCCGGAGAGGCGAACGAGGCCGCGCGCGAGCCUGCGACGCGGAUCCCUCUUCCCCCUGCCGGUUUUUGAAAUCCGCACCGUCGCCGGCAAGGUAACUGCUCUCCUCCGGUUAGGCCCUGGCCUGGGCAUGUGCAGCUGGUGCGAGCAAUCACUGAGCCAUCAGUGAUUCAUUGAUCCCUAUGAUUCACUCUCUAAUUUGCAUUGGUCAGUAAAAGAUCCUCCUCUAUAAGCGGAGCUGGUUGCUUUGCUUUGUAUCCGAUCUAAUUUGUGCUUUACUUCUUUUUGGGUUGUACUAAUUCUCCAUAUGCUCCACUUGAGAGAGCAAGAGAAGGUUACUCUACUCCAUUAUCUACUAAUUCCGGCAAUCAAGGUCAAUACAUGUUACAUCUAUCAGGGUCACUAAUCAGUACUACUAAUUUCAGAGAAGACCUGUAUAGCAGUACUACUCCAUCGACAAGCGUUCGUUGAUGGAUUUCUUCCACACCUAUGUGGUGUUGUGCCAUGGUCGCUCUCCCUCCUCCAGGUUUGAUUUUUCAAGUUUCAUGCCUUUGUGUUUUAAGAUGUCAUCCCAAAAGUAUUUGUAACAUAAAAAAACAAAGAAAGAGAAGAUUAACACGUGAGUUUAUAAAUUCUCAAAAGGAAGUCAUUGAAGAAAUUUUAGGACAAAUAUAAGGUCUAAUUGGCACUUGAACCGGCAAAGGGCCUCACUUUGUUAUCUUGCACAGGGACUCAGCCAAGUCCGGCCUGGCCAUGCCUCCGUCCUUCCGCCUUGCCGGUUGCGUGUGUGUGCUGUCUGUGCUUGACGCUGGUGCUUGUUGGCUUGUCACUGGGUGCUUGUCGCUGCUGGCCUGCUGCUGCUUUGCUGUAUAUAUUUGUAUAAUGUUUGCAUCUUGUAUGCAGCUAUGCUUUGUUUCAUAUUGACAUUGUUAAGUUGCUACUGCUGACCUGUUGAUGUUGUUGCUUACUGCUGCUGUCCUUCUGAUGUUGCUGCUGUGCUGGUCAGGGAGUGAGUCCAGAGAUACACAACAUUCAAUUAUGAGGAUCUAGGAAAUUAAUGAUCAUUCAGUCGUUGAUGAUAUAAAAAGAGGCAUGAAGGCAACAAAGGGGCAGUAUUUUGAUCUCAUGUCAUCUCGCACAUAGAUUAUUUGUUCUUCUUUACGUACCAUUUUAUUAAUUAUUUAUAUAUACCCACCAUACCGUCGUAUUACUGUUUCUUGAAAUUACCAUAUCCCCAUUUUCUUAUCGCCGUAUCCGUAACGCCGGUGCUUCAUAGCUAUGAAGCAUGAGUCUACAAUGAUCUAUUUUCAGACAUGCACAUGUUCUAUCAAGAAGUUCCGUUUGCAAUUUUCUUAUAUAAGUUUCAUUGAUGACAAUAAUGAUCGAUCCAUGUUCAUAGCUAUGUACAUGUUUCACUGGUAUUACCAUUGUUCAUAGUGUAAGCAUAUUAAACAGUUAUAUGCUUAUUGCACUACAAAGUGUAAACUAUUUAUAAUGUUCCAUCAUUUGACAGAGCAAUGCUAAAGUACUAAAGUAUCAAGUGAUUGAAUACACUGAAAAAGCUUUGCAAAGUAGAGAACCUCUUUUUUAGCCUCCACCAAUUUAUUGUUCUCCUUGUGUUGCUUGGAUAAAAUGAAAUGCAUACUAUACUGCUACUGCUACUGAGACUUGUCACAAUUUCUGUAUCCUGUGUUAGAAUGAGACUCACAGUUCACAAUUCAGGUGGAAGUUAAUCAAUUUCCUAAGGAUAAACUUCAUACUUGAAUUUACGUUGUGUAAUGUGUGACAAAUGUGAACGUUGCCAGCGUCUGAUUUGUGCCCUUUUAAAUUUCAAAUGGGGUGAUUCCAAAGAAGCAGAUUAAACUUGCCCUAAGUGCUGUGUUUGGGAGAUCGAGCAUGGCUUACGUAUGCCUUUGCCACAAAAUUCUGUUCUUGAGGCUAAAGAUCUGCCAAGGGCCAUGCUUAGCGAUCAUAUAGAAGAACAACUCUUUAAACGGCUCAAUGAAGAGAAACACGAACGGGCUAUUCAUGAUGGGAAAAGUUUUGAUAAGAUCCUUGUUUCAUGCACGUGCACCUUUUUGGGGAAUCGGGAGCUUUUCCGGACUGAAUAAGUAGAGUUAUAGUCAAGCUAAAGGCUGAAAACGAAGCCAUGAUUCAUAUUUAUCCAAGCACACCUUUGCCGCUCAGGCGAACCAUUUUUUGCACACAGGUGACUGAAAUUUUGAGCCGCGUCAGCCGACAUGUGCCUGAGAAGUAGGUAAGACGGUGCUAAGGCUGAGAUGGAGGCGACAUUGCCUGCCACAACGUCUCCAAGAUGCUGAGCUAGACCUGGACGGAGGCAGGGACGACACUACUUGUGGUGGCGUCUCCAAGAUGAAGAUCUAGGACCUAGAUGGAGGCAGGGACGACACAACUUGUCCCGGCGUCAUCAGCGGAGGACAUGCAGCAGGUUGCGGGGUUUGGGUGGAGGUGAGUUAGAGGGAUGACCGGUGGCAGCAACGGCAACUCGGGCAGACCAGGGCGGCGAAGGUUACAGUGCGAGCGUUCGUGUGUCUGGGGAAGAAGGUUACAGUCCGUUGGAUGCAUAAUAUGGGAGGGCGGAGGGAAAACUGACUGAAGAAAAAAUCUUUUCGAGCCUGAAAUAGUCGCUUUCAAUUGUAACCAUAGAAGCUUGGCACGUUUUGACGAACCAGAGUUGCCUGUGUGUUAUAGAGUUUUUUCUUGCAACUUUAAGGCCUUUGUUUGCUCUAUCUUGAAGACCUUUGUUCUACACGUACUACUAUGGGUUUAAAAGAAAUAGAGUUGUGUGAUUUGACA